AUGUUUACUCUACUGGCAGUGUACGUAUAGUUGUAUGGCUGUUAUUAAAUUGAAAUGUUUUAUAUUGAGUGGCAGUAACUAUAAAAGUUUUUAUCGUCCAUAUACAACAUUUACAAUUCCAUAUAGUAGCACUUAUAUGUUAGUUUUUGCCCACCAGUACCACGACAAUGGAAGAUUUUCUGGGUUAUACCAGUAUAGCUGUUUUGUGUUCUUCAAUUCUAGUGUUUAGACACUUUUUUCUCCUACCUAUAUACUGCUCUGUAGUUUGUAGAGAAUUGUUAUACACUGGGAUUGCAUAUACUCCUGACUUCCUCAUAUUGUUCAUUGGGUCUUUAUCAUUCCUUAAACUUGCAAAAAUGGUACUUUUUCUCUUAUAAACAUGCCUAUGUGCAUUUCUUUGAGAAGUUUUUUUACAACUGUCUAUUACUGGAACAGAUUGUGGUUUUAUUGUAUAUGAGAGAACAUGACUGUUGGUCUUGGUAAGGCCGACUGCUAUUCUGCGAUGUUGCUGUUACAUGAGCAUUGGCUAUUGAUUUAAUAACAUUAUUAUAUAUGGCUUUUAUACUUAUAACCACAUUUUUUUGACCUUGUGUAAUUAUAUAGCAUUAUUCUUUGGCUCUAUUUUCUUUGCUUCAUACUGUUUGUGUUUGUGUGUGUGUGUGUGUGUGUGUGUGUGUGUGUGUGUGUGUGU
rnacentral:lncRNA from 1 species